rnacentral:misc_RNA from 1 species
GAAAAUAUGGCAGCAACUAAUGGAAUCAGCUGAUUGUGGAACCUAUAUUUUUACAGCUGACUUUAAUUUUAUUUAUUUGGGAUAUUCUAAUUUAGCUCGUAGGCAAAUAAAAGUUUUAUAAUCGCAGUUUUAUAAAAUAUAAAACUUUUAAUUACCGAAAUGGCACAACUCAUAGUGCUACGUCAGCUGCUGCAUAAGAAUCCCAGCAUAACAUCAACAUUGAAGGUUAAAUGGAGCCGCAUGAUUGCGACGACACAGGCUCCCCUUUACCAAACGCGGAAGGAAGAUCCGAAUGCCAAUCGCACUUUACAAGAAACCACUGGCCCUACUGAUAUAUCGACAAACGUGCGGCCUCUGGGUGAAAAAAUUAAGGAAAACACAAAAACUGCCAGUUAUACAGCGAUAAUUCUGGCUGGGGUUGGGGUGACCGGCAUAGUAUUCUACGCAAUAUUCCGCGAACUUUUUUCCAGUUCUAGUCCGAAUAAUAUUUAUUCCGACGCAUUCGAUCUAGUAAAAGAAGAUCCACGUGUACAGGAUGCACUAGGCGCCCCAAUAAAGGGAUAUGGUGAGGAAUCGCGGCGUGGUCGCAGACAGCGAGUUGCACAUUCAACCUUCGAGCGUAACGGCGUCUUACAUGUACGCAUGCAGUUCUAUGUUCAAGGUAUACGGAACCGAGGCACUGUGCAUUUGGAAUCACGAAAGACACCGUCAGGAAAAAUGGAAUAUCGGUAUUUAUUUGUCCAACUUGAUUACUACCCGCAUACAACGAUAAUAAUUGAAGAUAAUCGCGCUUAUGAUCCGAGUCCGGCGUCAGCAAAAAGCCUUAUCGAUUCUGAAAGUUUGGAUUUCACCUCUUUUCAGAAAAAAUGAUACAAAGUGCCAAUACUUAUGUCGAAUAAUUAAGCGUGAAAAUGUACAUAACAGAUGUAGAGAAAUCAUCUAAAUCAAUGGUAUCUUCUGCUAAGCAUUCACGCCCGUGUCAGUAAAGCUUUUUCCAAGAAAGAGAUGCCGAAGAAGGAUGCAAAAUAUAACCAAAACUGACCUAAUCGCUCCCAGACACUUAGGUG